rnacentral:rRNA from 1 species
UACGUAGGGUCCGAGCGUUGUCCGGAAUUACUGGGCGUAAAGAGCUCGUAGGCGGUUAGUCGCGUCUGCUGUGAAAACUCGGGGCUUAACUCCGGGCCUGCAGUGGGUACGGGCUGACUAGAGUGCGGUAGGGGAGACUGGAAUUCCUGGUGUAGCGGUGAAAUGCGCAGAUAUCAGGAGGAACACCGAUGGCGAAGGCAGGUCUCUGGGCAUUAACUGACGCUGAGGAGCGAAAGCGUGGGGAGCGAACAGG